rnacentral:rRNA from 1 species
CAGCCGCCGCGGUAAUACGAAGGGUGCAAGCGUUACUCGGAAUUACUGGGCGUAAAGCGUGCGUAGGUGGUGGUUUAAGUCCGUUGUGAAAGCCCUGGGCUCAACCUGGGAAUUGCAGUGGAUACUGGGUCACUAGAGUGUGGUAGAGGAUAGUGGAAUUUCCGGUGUAGCAGUGAAAUGCGUAGAGAUCGGAAGGAACAUCUGUGGCGAAGGCGACUAUCUGGGCCAACACUGACACUGAGGCGCGAAAGCGUGGGGAGCAAACAGGAUUAGAUACCCCCGUAGUCCCUGUCUCUUAUAC